GACGAACGCUGGCGGCGUGCCUAAUACAUGCAAGUUGAGCGAUGAAGAUUGGUGCUUGCUCCUAUUUGAAGAGCAGCGUACGGGUGAGUAACGCGUGAGGAACCUGCCUUUGAGCGUGGGAUAACAUUUGGAAACGAAUGCUAAUACCGCAUAAUAUCUUUAAACAUAAGUUUUAAGUUUGAAAGAUGCAUUUGCAUCACUCAAAUAUGAUCUCGCGUUGUAUUAGCUAGUUGGUGAGGUAAAGGCUCACCAAGGCGAUCAUACAUAGCCGACCUGAGAGGGGGGUCGGCCCACAUGGGACUGGGAAAAGGCCCAAACCCCUAAGGGGGGCAACAGUAGGGAAAUUUUGGCAAUGGACGAAAGUCUGGACGAGCAAAGCCGCGUGGGUGAAGGAGGGUUUCGGGUCGUAAAACUCUGUUGGUAGAGAAGGACGUUGGGGGGAGGGAAAAACGCAUGUAGUGACGGUAACUAACCAGAAAGGGACGGCUAACUACGUG
rnacentral:rRNA from 1 species